CCUCGCCGGAGCUCCAGGUGGUCCGCGUGCAGGGCGCGGACAGAUCCGGCCGGCCCGUCGUCCGGGUCGUCGGCAAGUUCUUCCCCGCUCCUGUUAUAGAUGGUGGACGUCUGAAGAGGUAUGUGUUUCACAAGCUCCGCACCGAGUUGCCAGAGGGUCCGUUCUGCAUCUUGUACGUACACACCACUUUAUAAUCUGAUGAUAACAAUCCUGGAAUGACAAUCUUGAGGGGGAUUUAUGAAGAACUUCCAGCUGAAUACAAGGAAAGGCUGCAAAUAUUCUACUUCCAGCUGAAUACAAGGAAAGGCUGCAAAUUCCACUAGUUGACCUACUUGGCUAACACAAAUCUUAAAUACUUGAACUGAGAAAAAAAGCUUCAGCUAAAUCAGAGGCCAAGUUUCUACUGUAUUUGGCGCAAAGUCGUUGGUUUGUUGAUCUUUUCCUAUUUAUUACUCCUUGUAGGUUAUGUGCGACUGCUACACACCACAAGGUGUUCCAAUCCCCACCAACAAGAGGCACAAUGCUGCCAAGAUCUUCAACACCUCGAAGGUUGCAGCUGAGGAGAGAUGGUAUGGAAUUGAGCAGGAGUACACUCUCCUCCAGAAGGAUGUGAACUGGCCCCUUGGCUGGCCCGUUGGUGGCUACCCUGGUCCUCAGGCAAGAAAACUCUCAGCAUGCUCUCCAGCUUUCCGUGUGUUAAACUUACAUAAAAACUGAACAUUGCAUUUCACCAAGUGAAAUGCUACAUUUCUACUCCUAACCCAUUCUCUCUUUCUUAGUGUUUUUGUUAUGCAGGUUGGAAGAAAAGAAGAAGAUCCAGAGAAGAUCUUAGUAAUAAGAUAGUUUUUAGGAAAAUAGAUAUUUAGUUUUAGGUCAUUUCUUGUAAUUUCAGAUAUGGAGUGCUUGUCUAUAGUUU